rnacentral:rRNA from 1 species
CCUACGGGAUGCAGCGGUGAGGAAUAUUGGUCAAUGGGCGGAAGCCUGAACCAGCCAAGUCGCGUGAGGGAUUAAGGCCCUGCGGGUCGUAAACCUCGUUUGCCGGGGAGCAGGGGGCAGGACGCGUCCGGACCGGGAGAGGACCCGGAGAAAAAGCAGCGGCUAACUCCGUGCCAGCCGCCGCGGGAAUACGGAGGAUGCGAGCGUUAGCCGGAUUUAUUGGGUUUAAAGGGUGCGUAGGCGGGCAUUUAAGCCGGCGGUCAAAUGUCGGGGCUCAACCCCGGGCUGCCGUCGGGACUGGGUGCCUUGAGUGGGCGAGAAGUAUGCGGCAUGCGUGGUGUAGCGGUGCAAUGCAUAGAUAUCACGCAGAACCCCGAUUGCGAAGGCAGCAUACCGGCGCCCUACUGACGCUGAGGCACGAAAGUGCGGGUAUCGAACAGGCUUCGCUACCCGAGUAGUC